rfam:Fuerstia marisgermanicae strain NH11 chromosome, complete genome.
GGCACCGUAGCCCAACUGGAAGAGGCACUCGGCUUAGGACCGAGGCGUUGAGAGUUCGAAUCUCUCCGGUGCUA